UACAGAGGGUGCAAGCGUUAAUCGGAAUGACUGGGCGUAAAGAGUGCGUAGGCGGACAGAUGUGUCGCAGGUGAAAUCCCCGGGCUUAACCUGGGAAGGUCCUGCGAAACUAUGUGACUAGAAUAUAGGAGAGGGAAGUGGAAUUUCCGGUGUAGCGGUGAAAUGCGUAGAUAUCGGAAAGAACACCAGUGGCGAAGGCGACUUCCUGGCCUAAUAUUGACGCUGAGGCACGAAAGCGUGGGGAGCAAACAGG
rnacentral:rRNA from 2 species